rnacentral:tRNA from 1 species
UCUAACGUGGCAGAUAAGUGCGUUGGAUUUAAGCUCCAUAAAUAAAGUCUUUAAACUUUCAUUAGAA